GAGGUGGCCUAUCAACUGUCUAAAGACCUGUUAAAAUGACGCUAGCUGAGCACCGGAGGAGAGAGGCCCCAGAUAGAAAGAGGAAUGCAAAAAGGCCAGGUGGAAAAAGAGGGGCCCGCUGCCUGAUCGCGGGUCCAUCUGGAGACGGACCGGUCAGCGUGACGUGGGACCCAGUCUCAACAGCAAGAACAGCGACAGUACGAGACAACGCGUGGGAUUGGCAUCAGGUCAGAGGGCGCGAGAGGAGCCGCAGUGGCAUCGCACGAUGGACUCCGGUGCAGAAUGCGAGCUGGACUGGGAUGUGAUGGUCCCAGUGAAGGGACGAGAGGUGGAUAGGAGGCUUCUCCUCGUCUGCCUGGGAUCAGGCUGGCAUGGACCCUGCUCUGGAGAAGAAAUUUCUGGCCUGCUGAUGGACCCACAAUGAACAUUCAUCCUGGGUUGUGGGACAAUUACAUCAGGGGAUUUUAGUGCAUGCAGAGAAUUGUAUAUUUACGAGUUUUACAGUUGGUUUAUCUAGUCUCGGUGAGAAUUGUAGUGUAUUGACGAGCGUUUUAUUGCAUACUUUUUUUUUUUUAUUAAGAGUUUUUUUUUAAAUUUGUGCUCCCUGGCCUGAGUUUCUGACUCACUUGCUCCCUUGUAUCUAAAGAACCAUCCUCCUUAGGAAGACAUUCUGGCGUAACAGCUUUAGUGUCUACAUUACACUACCACCACUGUAGAUCAAAGCGAUCCAUUCCAGUCCUUUUCCAGCAGCCUGUCUGACCCAAGCUGCAACAAUAUCGCCACCAAAUCCUGAGUAUGUACAGGUCAGUCUGUGGGAGUCUCCAGGCCUUUUAACCACUGGUUCAGACUCAGUGUUUGACCUUCAGAACCUAAAAAGUGUUGAGUUCAUUAGUGUAAUCAAAUUUUCUUCACAUAGUUUUAUUUGUCCAAUUCAUUAGUUUUCCCUUACCAGCCAAGAAAUAACACAGAAAAAAGGAAAAGAAAAAAUGCUAAAUAAAAAGGUCUGAUCAUUGUAACAGUUGUUGUCCAGUCUGCAGAGUGUAUGUUGAGUCUUUGUGUUUUGUUCUGCGACAUAUAUGAAGACAGUGAAGACAGCAGUUUUGCAUUGUCUCCUCCUGUUUUUUGCAUAUAUUAAUACAUGAGGCUUAAUUUAAACUGAUGAUACCAUGAACAGUAAAGACACUAGUCAUAUAAGACAAGUCAUAUAAUAUGGCUUCAUUAAAAUAAUCUACAACCCAUUCAUGGUCUUAGAGCUCCCCCUCUGGUGGUUUCAUGGUAUAACUGUUCAGGCACUUUUUGUGUUUUCUUCAGGUCAUGCUGAACACAGUUCUAAUACGAGUAACCAUGUGUAGUGUCCAUGCUGUCAGUGUUUGUGCUCAAUGAGACUCACAGCAUCCAGCAGCAGGAGCAGAGCUACAGUUUUCUACAGGGAGCUUCUCUCCUUCUGUUGCAACCAAGUGUAUUAUACAAAGUCUUUAUGUUAGUCUGGAAGGAAGGUUAUUUAUGCAUAUUGUAUAAAAUAAUGUAUAAAAUAGAGAAAAGAAAGUUUUGAAAGACUAGAAGGUUUUCAGAGUAUUUUUC